CGCCCAGCCGAGGCGCACCUUCCACCAUCUUCUCCCUCGUAGUUCGCCCUCCAUCGCCAGGGUUGUGCUCCAACUUUGAUCCCUGCGUCCCCCGCUGUUAUGCAUCUAUGUCAGAUAGAGUUAUCUUCGACAGUUGCUUGGUCCAAAAAUCCGCAGCGUCUGAACUAUCUCAGCAUCUGAAUUUCAGAUCUCACGCCGCCUGGAGUUGGUUCAUUUGUACACGAGAGCAACUAAAUCAACAUCAUCAAAGCAGCCUAGUGGCUACGGCCUUGAACUCUUUCCUGGUGCAUUUGCUUCUUCCCGGAUAGGAUCACGAAGUGGUGAUGUGAGAUACGACAAGUUCUUCUGCAGCUUUUCACAGGCGAGCCCUCCCUCUUCACCUAUUUUACAUUUUGCUCUCCCUCUCAUUGCUAUCCAUAUGUUGCGAUUAUCGAGUCACGUGUCCUAUUCCACUUGUUAUCUCAAUAAUCCUAUAUGUAUCAUUCCGUACCAUAGCCGUUGCUUGAUGUUUGAGCCUUGCGAGUCGUAGACGUGUAUAGAUUCUGUUGGUUAUCUCUCGAUCUGUUAUCGAGAUAUGUUGGGUUGUUGGGAAUUAUCACAUGCUAUAUCAGUUGUUGAAUAUAAUCAUGGUUUACUUUAAUGUUAACAACUAAAAUUGCUAAGCAGCGGUAUCUGUGAGCCCCUUUGCGAAAGCAUCGGAUCUUUGUCUUGCUAAUGUCUCCUAGGACCAGAUCUUGUUAUCUGUUCCGAGAUUGAGCGCUCUACCCGUACGUGGGGGAGUGGGACCCCCAUCACCCACUACCUUUGCUCGAGUCUGUU